rnacentral:rRNA from 1 species
GCGGCCUAUCAGGUAGUUGGUGAGGUAACGGCUCACCAAGCCGACGACGGGUAGGGGGCGUGAGAGCGUGGCCCCCCACACGGGAACUGAGACACGGUCCCGACGCCUACGGGCGGCAGCAGUGAGGAAUCUUGCCCAAUGGGGGAAACCCUGAGGCAGCGACACCGCGUGCGGGAUGAAGGCCUUCGGGUCGUAAACCGCUUUUCUGGGGGACGAGUAAGGACGGUACUCCAGGAAUAAGUCCCGGCUAACUACGUGCCAGCAGCCGCGGUAAAACGUAGGGGGCGAGCGUUAUCCGGAAUCACUGGGCGUAAAGGGCGUCUAGGCGGCAGCCUAAGUCCCGUGUGAAAGCUCCCGGCUCAACUGGGAGAGGGCAUGGGAGACUGGGCAGCUAGAGACUCGGAGGGGGGUGUGGAAUUCCCGGUGGAGUGGUGGAAUGCGUUGAGAUCGGGAGGAACACCAGUAGCGAAGGCGGCACCCUGGCCGAGAUCUGACGCUGAAGCGCGAGAGCGUGGGGAGCGAACGGGAUUAGAUACCCCGGUAGUCCACGCCGUAAACGAUGACAACUAGGUGUUGGGUGUCCAAGGAUGCUCAGUACCGCAGCAAACGCGAUAAG